AAGGGGUUUCUCAUGCCUCAGUAAACAACUACUCUAUUGCCUUAUGAUGAGCUCUGAACAACCUACACAGGAUUAUCUAUAACCUUAACUGUCUUUACAAGGAAAGAGUUAGACCUCCCAUGUUUUGUGUGUGCCAGCUGGGCCACUGAGCCUUCCCAAGAAGGCCUCCUCUUGCAGUGAAAAGGCACAGACCUCCGAGAGAGUCAGACCUUGGUUCAAAUCCUUCCUCUGCCGUUGGCCACCAGUGACUUUGACAAAGCCACACAGAUAUUUCGGCAAUAAAGUUCCUGAAAUUCCACGUCGCUGUGAAGCUUUUUUUCAGAAUUAGAUCUGGAUCAUCCAGCCAAGAGUGUAGGAGAAGGUUUGCAAGAAUUGGAAGGAAAGGGCUUCCCUGCUGGCGCAGUGGUUGAGAGUCCGCCUGCCAAUGCAGGGGACAUGAGUUCGUGCCCCGGUCUGGGAA